rfam:Schistosoma margrebowiei strain Zambia genome assembly, scaffold: SMRZ_scaffold0000651
AUCUAGCCGACGAGUCCCAAAUAGGACGAAACGCGUGUUGAACUGGAU